AACCUGCAACGUAAAUUGAAUAAAGCACUGAAAACCAUUUAACAUGAACUCUACCUAUUAUAAAAACUGCAAGCAAAAGCAACCUAAUUCAAUUACUGGUCGACCCACACGAGCGUUCGUGCUAUACGUUAGAAAAACGAUAUGGUUCGCGGUCUGAGCGCCGCGUUUCCGUCAAAUGUACGUUCGCGGAGUGCAAACGUUCACGAAACGCCCGUGUGAGGUUGACUUAAUGAUGAGCAUUGACAAAAAAUAUUUAAAGUCAUCUUUUUUCGAUGAACAAAUAGCUCACGGAAUAUUGCAACAUCAAUUCAAAAAAGCAAUACCAGCAUACCUACUUAAUACGUAAUACUUUUAAUUACACGUGUCUAAUACUUACUCAGAAUUAGGUACCAUACAUAUUUCGUCCGUUGAAGCCCUCGUACGUUUGAACCUCAAGAUAUAUUUCAGAAUUACUGUGAUUUACCAAAAAGCCUACUUAUUAAAAAUUAAGUAGAAGAUCCACGAUCUGCACCGAUACACAGAGGAAGGUAUUUCAACAACUUACAACAAAAAGUCAAAAAGGGAAUCGCUCUCUUGCUGCGAUUCAUGAGUGAAAAUUCAAGAAAGUACUAUUAAAGUCAACGAUCACUCUCGAGAUACGAGGUGACUACCAUUCUUUAUCGACUUGAAGCUAGCCAGAUGACGAGUUGAUGUAGACCCUUAAAUG
rnacentral:lncRNA from 1 species